rnacentral:rRNA from 1 species
UGAGGAAUAUUGGUCAAUGGGCGGGAGCCUGAACCAGCCAAGUCGCGUGAAGGAAGAAGGAUCUAUGGUUCGUAAACUUCUUUUGCAGGGGAAUAAAGUGCGGGACGUGUCCUGUUUUGUAUGUACCCUGAGAAUAAGGAUCGGCUAACUCCGUGCCAGCAGCAGCGGUAAUACGGAGGAUCCGCGCGUUAUCCGGAUUUAUUGGGUUUAAAGGGUGCGUAGGUGGUUUGAUAAGUCAGCGGUGAAAGUUUGCAGCUUAACUGUAAAAAUGCCGUUGAAACUGUCGGACUUGAGUGUAAAAGAGGUAGGCGGAAUUCGUGGUGUAGCGGUGAAAUGCAUAGAUAUCACGCAGAACUCCGAUGGCGAAGGCAGCUUACUAAGCUACAACUGACACUGAAGCACGAAAGCGUGGGGAUCAAACA